UUUCCGUAGGUGAACCUGCGGAAGGAUCAUUAUUGUAUAACCGAGGUGCGAGGGCUGUCGCUGACCCGAAAGGUCGUGCACGCCCGAGUGCCCUCACACACAUCCAUCUCACCCCUAAGUGCACCACCGCGUGGGUCCCCCUUUGGCUUGUUCGGAGGGGGGCUUACGUUUUCACACAAACUUUGUAUGCAGUGUAGAAUGUAUUUUUUGUUUUUGCGAUCACGCAAUCAAUACAACUUUCAACAACGGAUCUCUUGGCUCUC
rnacentral:misc_RNA from 1 species